GUGGCAGGAGCAAAGCUAGAAGCACCCUUCGUAAAUAAUAAUAAUAAUGUUAAAUAUAAUAACUGAAGGGAUUUGGGGGGAGUGGUGUGGCAGGAGUGAAGCUAGAAGUAAAUAGUAAUAGUAGUAAUUUGCUUAACAAUAUAUUAUUAUUAUUAUUAUUAUUAUUAUUAUCUUGCAUUUCAACUUACUAUUAUCCCAUUCACCUUAAGGUCCCAGGACCUUAAUUAACAGUCAAUGUAACGAAUAAUAAUAAUGGGGAAAGUAUAUAAUUUACCUGAAAAACUACUUUAAACAACUAAAUUCAUUAGCAGGAGUGAUGUAAAACUUAUAGCUAAAAAAAAAUGAAAUAAGGAUUAGUAAAAAUUGGAAUGAUAGAAGAGAUGCAGGGGGAAUAAUUAUAACUCAAGGAUCCACAAAUGGGGAAGGAGGGAAGCCAAAGGGAUAUGUGUUUUAUUUUUUUCUUACUUGACACUUCUAAACUUUGAAAAAAUAAUUUUUUAAAAAUAUGAUGGUGAUGGUGAUAUUUAUACCCCACCCCUCUGGCGGGUCUCCCCAGCUACUCUGGGUGGCUUCCAGCACAUAUAAAAACAUAAUAAAACAUCAAACAUUUAAAACUUCCCGAUACAAGGCUGCCUUCAGAUGUCUUCUAAAAGUUGUGUAGAAUAAUACCUUUAUUAAAACACAGUGUUAAACAAAACAGUUCAAAGCAACUUCACAGUCACAUUUUAAAAAUGCAUUGUGCGGAAUACGUUUGAAAUGGUACACGCUCGUUCAUAGACAUGCCAGGAAAAGUUUCACCUGCUAAAUGCCUGCCUGUUAGGCAGAGGAUAAAGUUACAGAAGUCUCUGGUGUUUAACAACAUGUACAGAGCAACACCCCGCCCCACCCCCUUAGAGCCUUUAAAAUGUGAUGCUUCACUUUCUCCUGUUGUUUGUCCCGGUACAAAACAAUCCUGUUUAGCCUGCUUCAUGCAUUAUACACUAAAAAUGCUUGAUUGUAAUGAAACCUCACAGUGUUUUACAAAAAGAAUGAAACAGUAAAAUUAUCAGUAAAGAAACUUAAAACCAACUAUUUAAAACCUAAGUAAAAUCAAUUGUAAGCUAAAAACCAGAUUAAAACAUGUUCCACACGAACAUGUUUUUAGCCGGUGCCGAAAAAGUAUAGUGAAGGCACCUGCCUGGUGUCAAUAUGCAGGGAGUGCCAAUGCGUGGGUACAGCCACAUAAAAAAAUCAAUUUCUUAAAAAUGUGGAACAGGAAUUAAGUGACACCUGCAACAGGACCAGUUCCGCAGAUCAAAGCAGUUGAGUGGGAAUAAAUUGGGUAAGGUAAUAUCACAAGCAAGCUGGUCCCAAGCUGUUAUGGGCUUCAAAUACUAAUAGUAACACCUUGAACUUGGCUCUGUAGCACAUCUGCCACCAGUGCAGGUCCCUAAGUACUUGGUGUACUCAGCGAGCAAUGUAAAUAUAAGUCAGCAUGAAAUAGCAGGUUAUUAUUAUUAUUACUCUUAUAAUUACUAUUUAUUUUGUGCCCGAUGUCUUGUGAGAGAAUUUUUAACCGCUGGCUUUAAUGUCUUCUUCAAUGCUGAGUUUGUACAAUGUUUAUGGAUUUAUUGUAUGCUUCUACGUUUUGUUACGGUGUUUGGUUUUUGCAAACCACCUUGUCAAUAUUUUUGAGAAAAGGCAGCUUCAGAAUUCUGAAAAUAGAAGAUUGGUAUGAUGCCAGCAUUGAUUAAAAGUUUCCAAAAUUUGUUUGAAACAAUACACUUAAAAAGAACUAAAGUUAAUGUGUCCCUGGACUCCAAAGUAAAUUUAUGUGACCCUGAAACUCAAAAUAAAUGGGAUACCCUAUAU